rnacentral:rRNA from 1 species
GAUGAACGCUGGCGGCGUGCCUAAUACAUGCAAGUCGAGCGAACAGACGAGGAGCUUGCUCCUCUGACGUUAGCGGCGGACGGGUGAGUAACACGUGGAUAACCUACCUAUAAGACUGGGAUAACUUCGGGAAACCGGAGCUAAUACCGGAUAAUAUAUUGAACCGCCUGGUUCAAUAGUCAAAGACGGUUUUGCUGUCACUUAUAGAUGGAUCCGCGCCGCAUUAGCUAGUUGGUAAGGUAACGGCUUACCAAGGCAACGAUGCGUAGCCGACCUGAGAGGGUGAUCGGCCACACUGGAACUGAGACACGGUCCAGACUCCUACGGGAGGCAGCAGUAGGGAAUCUUCCGCAAUGGGCGAAAGCCUGACGGAGCAACGCCGCGUGAGUGAUGAAGGUCUUCGGAUCGUAAAACUCUGUUAUUAGGGAAGAACAAAUGUGUAAGUAACUAUGCACGUCUUGACGGUACCUAAUCAGAAAGCCACGGCUAACUACGUG